rnacentral:rRNA from 1 species
AUUGAACGUUGGCGGCGUGGAUUAGGCAUGCAAGUCGAGCGGUAAGGCCCAGCAAUGGGUACACGAGCGGCGUAAGGGACAGUAAUGUGUAGGUACGUACCUCCGGGCCUGGGAUAGCUGCGGGAAACUGCAAUUAAUACCAGAUAAUGUCUCCGGACCAAAGGUGUGAUUCCGCCGGGAGAGGGGCCUACAUCCUAUUAGCUAGUUGGCGGGGUAACGGCCCACCAAGGCUUAGAUGGGUAGCAGGUGUGAGAGCACGACCUGCGUCCAUGGGACUGAGACACUGCCCAGACACCUACGGGUGGCUGCAGUCGAGAAUCUUCGGCAAUGAGCGCAAGCUUGACCGAGCGACGCCGCGUGCGGGAUGAAGGCCUUCGGGUUGUAAACCGCUGUCAGAGGGGACGAAGUGCUAGCGGGUACUCUCGCUAGUUUGACAGAUCCUCAAAGGAAGGGUGGGCUAAGUUCGUGCCAGCCGCCGCG